AUCCGGUCUGGUCUGGUCCGGUCCGGUCCUGCUGCCAGGAGGUUAGGAGCAGCAGGACAGUUGAGCCUCACCAGGAGGAGAGGCUGCAUUCCUGCCCACAAGGGAGAAAAAUACUCUGAACAGGACUGGUGGAGAAAAGGAGCAGACUUCUUCUGUGUCCCAAGGGGGCCACAUUACCCAAGCCUGUCUCACCAGGGCUAAAAGCAGCAGAGGCUGGGGAGACCGAGAAGGUGCCUUGCCACAGCAGAUAUAAAACUCUGAUGCUGCACCCAGAUCAGAACCAUGGCUUGGAUGGCUAUAUUCCCGCAAGAUUGUAGCAUGAUCCCGGUUUUUCACUGGAGGUCAGUUUUGUUCUGCUUUGGGGAGCAAUAGGUCCUCAGGGCUCCUAGGACUGCUGUGAGGCUCGGGGCAGUGGUGAGUUUCAGCGUGCUGCACGCCUCUCUGCCUCGUUCCCUAACAAGUUAAUGUACCUUUACCACAGAGCCAGGGUGCUAGUACUGUGUCUUGAGGACAAGAAACCUGGCUGAGUGUCUGACACCAAAUUAUGCCAAUGGUCGUUCCUUCUGGGUAAUACUAUCAAGAUCGUCUGAACCAACUAUCUGAGCAGGUCUGGGACAGUAUAUGAAGAGAGAACAUGCCCACCUAACUGACAACAGGUGUAAACAAAAAUACAAUAACAUACUUCCUAGAGAUUCAAAUUUAUCUAUUCCCCCUGGAAACAAACCCUA